CGGCGUGCUUAACACAUGCAAGUCGCACGAGAACACCUCAGCUUGCUGAGGUAAGUAAAGUGGCGCACGGGUGAGUAACGCGUGGGUAAUCUGUCCCGGAGUUCGGGAUAACACACCGAAAGGUGUGCUAAUACCGAAUGACAUCGUUUUAUCUUUGGAUGGAGCGAUUAAAGGUGGCCUCUCCAUGGAAGCUAUUGCUUGGGGGUGAGCCCGCGUACCAUUAGCUAGUUGGCAGGGUAACGGCCUACCAAGGCGACGAUGGUUAGCUGGUCUGAGAGGAUGAUCAGCCACACUGGAACUGACACACGGUCCAGACUCCUACGGGAGGCAGCAGUGAGGAAUUUUGCGCAAUGGGGGUAACCCUGACGCAGCAACGCCGCGUGAGUGAUGAAGGCCUUCGGGUCGUAAAGCUCUGUCAAGCGGGAAGAAUCCGUUUCAGCUGAAUAUGCUGGGGCGUUGACGGUACCGCUGAAGGAAGCACCGGCUAACUCCGUGCCAGCAGCCGCGGUAAUACGGAGGGUGCAAGCGUUAUUCGGAAUUAUUGGGCGUAAAGGGCGCGUAGGCGGCCAGGCAAGUCAGAUGUUGAAAUCCCGGGGCUUAACCCCGGAAGUGCAUUUGAAACUGCCUGGCUUGAGUAUGGGAGAGGGAAGUGGAAUUCCUGGUGUAGCGGUGAAAUGCGUAGAUAUC
rnacentral:rRNA from 1 species